CUGGUUUAGCAGCACAUGUACUAAAAUUGGAAUGAUAGAAGAUUAGCAUGGCCCCUGCACAAGGAUGACAGGCAAAUUUUUGAAGCAUUCCAUAUUUAA
ensembl:snRNA U6 U6 spliceosomal RNA